AUCAGUCUUUAAAGAGUUAAGUUAAAAUAAGCUCUUUAAAGUGGGCCCUAAUCCAAUAUGACUGGUGUUCUUAUAAGAAGAGGAGAUUUGGUCACAGACAUGGUUGCAUGCAGAAUAAAGACCUUUCGAGGACACACUGAGAAGGCAGCCAUCUGCAAAACAAGGAAAGAGUCCUCAGCAGAAACCAGUCCUGCAGACUCCUUGAUCUUGGACUUCCAGCCACUGCAACUGAUGUCAAGCUUCAGCACCCUUGCAUCUCUGGAUAAAUGAAAUGUCACCCCAGCUGCCGUCCUUGUUCAGAUCUGUGCAAUAAAGAGCAAAGCAUAAAACCAAGUCAAGGCUUUGAGGGAGUGACCUACAAAAUGCAUAAUGUGAAACAAUGCAAAAGCGAAAGGUGCAAAAUCCCCAUCAAAGAGCUGGAUGCUGACAGAUGCGCCAGCGAUAAUUCCCAUCUUCCAACACAGGAGCACAGCUUCCAUUUUCCAUAACAGAACAACAGCCAGAGCAGCUGGAAGGCAGGGCUGCAUCCCAGACUUCCACCAACAAUGGGAUGAGACUUGACAUCUGGAAUCACAACCACAACAGACCUAAGAGACCCACCAGCUUGAUGACAAGCUUCUUCUUUCAAAGAAAGGUAUCAGUCUGGGGGACCUAGUGCUGCAAACCAUGACAAAUUAAGUGUGGCAUCCCUCACUUGCCUAAUGGAACUCAGUGAUAUUUUUUAAUUAACAAGAGUUAUUUUUAUGUAAGCAUCUCUCAUUCCUCCACUGUGCGUGCUCGGGGUCUGGUGGUGAGGAAAAAGAAAACAGCUGUGCGGGAAGCAUCAAGAAAAGGCAAGUCAUGAAGUCUUAGAGAUCAGUGACAUGUAAGAAAAAGAGUGAGGAGAAAAAUAUUCCUACUAAAGUUUUCCAUUUGUUUACCUUCCUUGUCACGUAGACCUCCAAGAGUUAGAAGUCUAGGAUUUGAUCUCCAAAUCUUCCUGGAAGAUUACUCAUCUUCAUUUCAUUCAUAUAGUCCAGGGGUUUGUACAAAGGAAGAUGCCAGUUCUUCCCCAAUCAUAACUAAGAUAUCAAGAGAUAUUCUUUUGAAACAUAACAAAGGAGAUCUAAAGUUCAUCUGAAAAAAAUAAAUGGUUUUAGGCGGUCAUGACCAUGGGAUGCUGGACCAGGAUGGUAAGCUUCAGGAAACAGAAUCUGGAGAAUGCCCAGCUGCUCCCACAGGAAGCAUCAGGGAAGAAGAAGAAGAGGUGUGAAGUCUGCCUUCUGCUCUGCUGGGAUCCCUUUCACAUCUCCUUUGCCUCCAGGCAGUUUUGGUUCCUGGCCAUUUCCAGGUGUGACUCACUCAGGAUGGUAAGCAUCUUCUCUCCUACCCAGAGUAGAGGAUGAAGACCUCAUCUCAGAGGUUGAAGGGAGCUCCAGAGAGAGGUCUCAAACUUCCAGCAUUAACCGCUAAAGAAGCUUCAUGAGCUGCUGGAGAACCUGGGAAAUGACCAAUGAUAGGGACAGAGCUCAAAUACUCUGGGACACUCUAGUAGCUGAGAAAGUUCCAACUCCAGGGCGAUAGAGGACUGCCUGGCAAACCAUCAUCAAAGCAGAAGACCUGAUACUAACAUCACAGGCUAUGGUUUAUUACUGAAGAUCGGUGCUUACACCCUGCCAGAGGUUCAGAAGCAAACUUAUCAUCGUUCUCCCUGGAGAUGUUGGCCCACAUUCUGAAAAGUGUGGUCAGUAGUAGCAACAGAAAGCAAUUGUGCUUGCCAAGCACAAUGUCACUGUCCCCAGCCCUUCCCCCAACACAACCCAGUAGGUGCUUCCUUGCUGCAAACUUGGGAAAGUCACUUGACCUGUCUGAGGUUCCACUUCCUAAUCUGGCCUGGCGAAGAUAAGAAAAACAGUUUAUUUAAAGUGUCUAGCAAAGUGCUUGGACCAAAAUAGGACCUCUGAAAUGGUUAUGGUAGUGCCGUUAAGGUGAUGUUUUAAGUGCUGAUGAGCACAAAGAUGGGUAAGAUAUUCCUUCUGUUAAAAUCUACAGUCUAAUGAGAGAGAACAAGAUGAAUGCACAAUAACUAUCAUUCAGAACAGGAUUAUGAGGUGUGAAUUUCUGUGAAAAAUCAGAACAGGGAGUAAUAUGAUCCCAGGUGAUUGGCAGGGGGUGGGGGUCUGGAUUCAACUGGAGAGGGAGCUGGCAGGGAAGGCUUCCUGGAGGAUGAGAGUUCAACAAGGGGCAGGUGUAGGAUGUGGGUGGCCAAGUGACUGGGCAGAAGGAGCUGCAGAAGUAAGACCCCAAGUCAGGAAGACAAGGGCCUGCUGAGAAACACGAGCUACAAAGUGCAAGUGCAGGAAGAGUUGGGAUGAGAUUAGAAGAGGGUCUGGGGCCAGACUGUGGAAGGCCCAAAUGCCGGGCUAAGGAGUUUGUACUUAAUUCAGUGGUCAACGGGGAGUCAUUGGAGGCUGUUGAGCAGGAGAGUUGCUUUCUUUACAGCUGUGCCAGACUAAAUUAAACCUAAACAGUACUUUAUAGCUGGAAAGGGAAGGCCCAGGAAUAGCUCUUGACUCAGAAACAGGCAUUGGGGAAGGUAAUGAGAAACAGCCCUGACUGAUCAAAGCAGAGAGGUUAAUUAAAUUUGUAAUUAUUGUGAAAGGCCAUUAAAAACCCUAGUUCACUAGAGAUAACUGCUCUAGUGGGGCUUCAAAGACGAACGCUUCUUUUAACCUUGAAUAGGGGGAUGUUUGCUUCUCUGUGGAGGAGAUAUGAUUAAGAUACUUAAUAAAUGGUAGAUAAACAUGCA
rnacentral:lncRNA from 1 species